rnacentral:rRNA from 1 species
GGAAGUAAAAGUCGUAACAAGGUCUCCGUAGGUGAACCUGCGGAGGGAUCAUUACAAGAACGCCCGGGCUUCGGCUGGUUAUUCAUAACCCUUUGUUGUCCGACUCUGUUGCCUCCGGGGCGACCCUGCCUUCGGGCGGGGGCUCCGGGUGGACACUUCAAACUCUUGCGUAACUUUGCAGUCUGAGUAAACUUAAUUAAUAAAUUAAAACUUUUAACAACGGAAUCUCUUGGUUCUGGCAUCGAUGAAGAACGCAGCGAAAUGCGAUAAGUAAUGUGAAUUGCAGAAUUCAGUGAAUCAUCGAAUCUUUGAACGCACAUUGCGCCCCCUGGUAAUCCGGGGGGCAUCCCUGUUCGAGCGUCAUUUCACCACUCAAGCCUCGCUUGGUAUUGGGCAACGCGGUCCGCCGCGUGCCUCAAAUCGUCCGGCUGGGUCUUCUGUCCCCUAAGCGUUGUGGAAACUAUUCGCUAAAGGGUGUUCGGGAGGCUACGCCGUAAAACAACCCCAUUUCUAAGGUUGACCUCGGAUCAGGUAGGGAUACCCGCUGAACUUAAGCAUAUCAAUAAGCGGAGGA